AUUGAACGCUGGCGGAAUGCUUUACACAUGCAAGUCGAGCGGCAGCGCGGGGGCAACCCUGGCGGCGAGCGGCGAACGGGUGAGUAAUGUAUCGGAACGUACCCUGUCGUGGGGGAUAACACAGCGAAAGCUGUGCUAAUACCGCAUACGACCUGAGGGUGAAAGCGGGGGACCGUAAGGCCUCGCGCGAUAGGAGCGGCCGAUAUCGGAUUAGCUAGUUGGUGAGGUAAAGGCUCACCAAGGCGACGAUCCGUAGCUGGUCUGAGAGGACGACCAGCCACACUGGAACUGAGACACGGUCCAGACUCCUACGGGAGGCAGCAGUGGGGAAUUUUGGACAAUGGGGGCAACCCUGAUCCAGCCAUUCCGCGUGAGUGAAGAAGGCCUUCGGGUUGUAAAGCUCUUUCAGCAGGAACGAAACGGUGGUCCCUAAUACGGGUUACUAAUGACGGUACCUGAAGAAGAAGCACCGGCUAACUACGUGCCAGCAGCCGCGGUAAUACGUAGGGUGCGAGCGUUAAUCGGAAUUACUGGGCGUAAAGCGUGCGCAGGCGGUUCUAUAAGACAGAUGUGAAAUCCCCGGGCUUAACCUGGGAACUGCGUUUGUGACUGUAGGACUUGAGUGUGGCAGAGGGGGGUGGAAUUCCACGUGUAGCAGUGAAAUGCGUAGAGAUGUGGAGGAACACCGAUGGCGAAGGCAGCCCCCUGGGUCAACACUGACGCUCAUGCACGAAAGCGUGGGGAGCAAACAGGAUUAGAUACCCUGGUAGUCCACGCCCUAAACGAUGCGAACUAGGUGUUGGGGAAGGAGACUUUCUUAGUACCGCAGCUAACGCGUGAA
rnacentral:rRNA from 1 species